CAGCCUGUUCCACGAUGUCGAAAGAACACGUUCGCACAACUUUUACACGACAAACAGCUGAUUUCCGUUCCACUAAAAUCCAUCAGAACGAAAAUUUGCACGAAAAUCAAAGCGAACGAAAACGUAAGCAUUUCAGUGUAAUUUUGCGUUCCACUAUCUUUUUUCUUUCGUACGCAUGCGAACACAAAUGUCAAAAUCAGUCACUUGUGUGUUUGCUGUCGAAUGAUAAAAAUUAAGGAAAAUUGUUGUAACAUAAACAUUCCUUGAUUGAAAAUGGAAAGAAAAAUCACCAAAAAACUACACAGCUGCGGGCACUAGUUGAGUAUAUGGGGGAGAAUCCUAAGUUCGCCAGAGGAGUGCCAAUUUUUGGAAGCAGCAGGCAAUCCCAUGAAGACCACUGGAAGACACAAACCUAGAAAAAAUCAUUUUUUUAUUAUUUCAAAAAUGUAAAAAUACAAUCAUACUUACUGGUUGUUAGGUACUUCAAAUAAAUUCGAAGCAUCUCUUAAA